rnacentral:lncRNA from 1 species
UGCAGGAAGACUCCGCCCAGACUCCUACGGGAGUCGGGCUCCAUUACCAACUUCAACUACUGGUAAGCUCCAUCCGGACUCCUACGGGAGCCGGACUUCGCACCUGAUUUUAAUUGCAGGAAGACUCCGCCCGGUCUCCUACGGGAGCCGAGCCUCAUCCUCGAUUCAACUGCCGAUGAGCUCCACCCAGACCCCUACGGGAGCCGGACUCCACCCCCGGCUGUGAUUGAAGGAAGACUCCAUUCGAACUCUUAUGAAAGUCGGAUUCCGAGCUCUUCUUGGAC